GAAGGGUGCAAGCGUUACUCGGAAUUACUGGGCGUAAAGCGUGCGUAGGUGGUCGUUUAAGUCCGUUGUGAAAGCCCUGGGCUCAACCUGGGAACUGCAGUGGAUACUGGGCGACUAGAGUGUGGUAGAGGGUAGCGGAAUUCCUGGUGUAGCAGUGAAAUGCGUAGAGAUCAGGAGGAACAUCCAUGGCGAAGGCAGCUACCUGGACCAACACUGACACUGAGGCACGAAAGCGUGGGGAGCAAACAGGAUUAGAUACCCUGGUAGUCCACGCCCUAAACGAUGCGAACUGGAUGUUGGGUGCAAUUUGGCACGCAGUAUCGAAGCUAACGCGUUAAGUUCGCCGCCUGGGGAGUACGGUCGCAAGACUGAA
rnacentral:rRNA from 1 species